AACGCGAAGAACCUUACCAGGGCUUGACAUCCCGCUUGAAGGUGUAGAGAUACACCUGCCCGCAAGGGGAGCGGAGACAGGUGGUGCAUGGUUGUCGUCAGCUCGUGUCGUGAGAUGUUGGGUUAAGUCCCGCAACGAGCGCAACCCUUAAGCGAUGUUACCAGCACGUUAAGGUGGGGACUCAUCGCUGACUGCCGCCGACGAGGCGGAGGAAGGUGGGGAUGACGUCAAAUCAUCAUGCCCCUUAUGUCCUGGGCUACACACGUGCUACAAUGGCCGGUACAACGGGAAGCGAAGCUGCGAGGCGGAGCGAACCCUAAGAAAGCCGGUCGUAGUUCGGAUUGCAGUCUGCAACUCGACUGCAUGAAGUCGGAAUCGCUAGUAAUCGCGGAUCAGCAUGCCGCGGUGAAUACGUUCCCGGGUCUUGUACACACCG
rnacentral:rRNA from 1 species